CCCAGCGCGGUGAUUGGCACUUCCUCCAGAGACUGCCGCACCUUGUGGCCUCCGUAGCACCACCUGCUGGGGACAACGUGUUAAUGCCUGAAGCUGGGAAGGACAUUCCUCAGGAAAACCAACCUCCCCAGGGCUCAGUAAACGUUUUUUCUCUCUGCCUAACAUACUGAAACUUUUUUUUUAAAUGAUCUCUGUGUUUCACUCCAGGAGGCGUUGCAGGCCUUGGAACAAGAUGUGGAAAAGCAGAAGGUCUGCUGGGAGAAUGAGGUGCUCCAACUGAAAGAAUACAACCAGGAGAUAGUCUCAGAAAUGGAGACUAUCAAGCUCCAAGUGGAGAAGCUUCAGACCCAGCUGUCAAGUAAAGACAGUGAACUGGAGAAGCUUGCUCAGCACGACAAAGAAAGGACACAUCUGUGGCUCAAACAAAUUAACUGGGAGCACCGUGUCAAAAUAACUGAACAGGGGAAGAAGCUUGAGUGGACCGAGGAAAUUAGGAGGGAGAAAGAAACUGCCUUGAGGAAGAAAGAAGAGCGCAUGCAGGAUGAGGUGUCUGACCUGACAAGGCUACAUAGAUGCAACAUGGACAAUCAGGUUCUCCAAACUGAGAAAGAUGAACUGCAAGAUAAAAUCUCUAACCUACAAAAGGAGAACAGUAAACUGAGCUUACUGACUCAGCAACCUUCAGACCAAGGAGAUGCUAGGAACAAUUCAGGCCUUUGCUAUGGAAACCCAUAUCUAGAAGAUCGUCUCAAAGAAAGUCUUUGCUCCACGAAAAUGUAGCCAUGAUUACAGCCCUGGAAAAAAAGGUAGAAGCUACAACCUCCCAAUUAAGGUCGAAAGCAAUCACUGACAUCCUGGCACGCCAACUAUGGAGACUUUCAAGUUGUGUGUUUUUUCACUUGAGAAAGCCCGUACUUGACGAGAAUUGAGUUCAAAGCUACUCUCAGGGAAAAUGGGAGGGGCCAGGGAAAAGGGGUUAUUUCUAUCUAGAUGCUUCUAAUUUGGCAUUUUCUGUUCCUUCCUAUGCACAUAAAAUGUAUUAUGUCACACAGCUUGGCCUGGAAAGAAGCAAUCCUGUUGUAACACGUUUAUAAGUGCUCAGACCAUGGGCCUGAGCCACUGCUUCCUGUCCGUAAGUCUUAGUGACUGAUUUAGGAACUGUUAAGAAGUAUCUGAGCUUGCAACUUUCAUAGUUAUGUAUGAUUGUAAGAAUGACACUAUUGUUAAUCUUCUUAAUAUUUAAAAUAAACUACUUUUUAAAUGACA
rnacentral:lncRNA from 1 species